rnacentral:lncRNA from 1 species
ACCCGGCCGCUGCUGCGGUCCGGACGGCAGUUGGUCCAGUAGUUUCGGAUGCCCGGGCUAGGCUCGGCGGAGAGCGAGUCGGCGUGAAUGAGAGCAAACCAACAGGGCUGUGCGUGGCGCGUAAAGAAGUGUUGAAGAAGAGAGAGACAGAAGAAAAUCACCAUAAAAAGUCAGACACGAGAGCUUAGAAGUCAAUUAAGACAGGGCUUGGAAGGGGCAUUAGAAAAAAAAAACACCUCUGUUUGCAUCUGUAGACAAAGAUCUGUUCAGAAUGGUUGGCUUUGUGAGGUAAGUUUAUGAAGAACUUUCACUUACUAUUUUAGUCAU